AUUCCAGCUCCAAUAGCGUAUAUUAAAGUUGUUGCGGUUAAAAAGCUCGUAGUUGGAUUUCUGUCGAGAACGGCCGGUCCGCACUAUGUGCGUGUAUCUGGUUCGGUCUUGGCAUCCUCUUGGAGAACGUAACUGCGCUUGAUUGCGUGGUGCGGUAUUCAAGACUUUUACUUUGAGGAAAUUAGAGUGUUCACGGCAGGCAAGCGCCUUGAAUAUAUUAGCAUGGAAUAAUAAUAUAGGAUCUCGGUUCUAUUUUGUUGGUUUCUAGAAUCAGGAUAAUGAUUAAUAGGGAUAAUUGGGGGCAUUUGUAUAAACGCGUCAGAGGUGGAAUUCUUGGAUUGCGUUACGACAAACUACUGCGAAAGCAUUUGCCAAGGAUGUUUUCAUCG
rnacentral:rRNA from 1 species